GCGCGGCGCCUGGUGGACAGACACAUCGUAAACGGGAGAGGAGAGCGCGCGCUUCCGCGGGGACGGGGAAAGACACGCCGGUGACCGAGCUGAGGCUGCGGUGACCUAAGGGACAAUCUGGGAGCUGGAGUUUAUCACCCACUCAUUCUGCACUGAGCCAAGGAGAAGAGCUGUGACAUAUAUCUGCAUUCUUGUUCAGACCACAUACUUUUAAACCAUUGCUUUGCUCUCUGUAGUUCCCAGGGGCCUAGUGAAUGUCAAUCCCUGUCAGCUCUCAGAGACAGGGUGCAAUGGAUACUUUUCUGCCCUCUGGAGGGAGCUAUCCAAAAGAAGAAACUGCACUUGGAAAUUGACCUAUGAGCAGCACAGAAGAUGAAGAAGGAGAAGAGGGGCCAUCAAGCAGAGAAAUGUGGAGGUACAGAUAACAUCUGACUAUUUUUGGGAUUCUUCAAGGAGCCUGAGAAGACAUAUUGCAGAAGAGGAACUUAAAGGACUAGUAUUCCUACUGAUGAAGCAUUUCUUAGUCAAGCCUAAAGUGAAUACCUCCCCUUUGAAGAAUGGAACCCCCUUUGAAGAAUGGAACCCUCUUUACAGUUCUUAGUCAAGCCUAAAGUGAAUACCUCCCCUUUGAAGAAUGGAACCCUACCUCAGCCUUCUUGUGUACCAUGUGACAGAUUCUAUCCAGGCCACAUUCAACCCCACUGGUUCCUGAAUGGACAGGAGGAAAACAGCUAGGGUUAUGUCCACCAACCUUAUCCAUAAUAAAGACUGGAUCUUCCAGAUCCUGGUGAUGCUGGCAAUGACCCUUCAGCAGGGAGGUGGCUGGACCUGCCAAGUGGAGCACCCCAGCCUGGAUGGUCCUGUCACUGUGGAGUGGAGUUCCUGAUCUGACCCAAAGACCUCCAUGUGCCCCGGAACAAGCAUUUUUCUAUCUUUCCUCAGUCCCAGAGGCUGGUUCCGGGACAGACUUCAGCCUCCCAAGAGGAUGUUACUACCAAGUGCAUUUGCAGUGGCUGCCGUGAGGCAGACAGUGGGGAGAGAAUGAGGCAGAGCAGGGCAGGGAGGAGCUCUGAAUCCAGGACAUAUUUCCCUAUCUGGUGGAGGGAAAAGGGGUGGAAGUGAAACAGCUCAGCGGGGCUCAGCCAUCCAGAAAAUGUCGGAAGGAGCAUCUCAGUGUCUGGGAAAGAGGCGAGAAGCGACGCGGCUGAGAAAGUCCUAACCUAUGUGGGGUUCAGGGAUAAGAGGAAGAGAACAAAAAGGGAGACAUGAUAAUCACCUUCCUUUUAAUGGGAUCGAUUGGAAAUACAUCUUUGAAAUUGAUCCUGGAA